rnacentral:rRNA from 1 species
ACUAGAAGCCGAUGAAGGACGUUACUAACGACGAUAUGCUUUGGGGAGCUGUAAGUAAGCUUUGAUCCAGAGAUUUCCGAAUGGGGAAACCCAGCAUGAGUUAUGUCAUGUUAUCGAUAUGUGAAUACAUAGCAUAUCAGAAGGCACACCCGGAGAACUGAAACAUCUUAGUACCCGGAGGAAGAGAAAGAAAAUUCGAUUCCCUUAGUAGCGGCGAGCGAAACGGGAAGAGCCCAAACCAACAAGCUUGCUUGUUGGGGUUGUAGGACACUCUAUACGGAGUUACAAAGGACGACAUUAGACGAAUCAUCUG